UACGUAGGGUGCAAGCGUUAAUCGGAAUUACUGGGCGUAAAGCGUGCGCAGGCGGUUGUGCAAGACAGAUGUGAAAUCCCCGGGCUUAACCUGGGAAUUGCAUUUGUGACUGCACGGCUAGAGUGUGUCAGAGGGGGGUAGAAUUCCACGUGUAGCAGUGAAAUGCGUAGAUAUGCGGAGGAACACCGAUGGCGAAGGCAAUCCCCUGGGCCUGCACUGACGCUCAUGCACGAAAGCGUGGGGAUCAAACAGG
rnacentral:rRNA from 1 species